rnacentral:piRNA from 2 species
UAAUACUAGUAGCUGGACAGUACCAAU